UUUAGGCCUCCAAAAAGCCCAAGUGCUUUAGUCUUUUUCUCCUCUAACCACACAAACUCUUAGCACCAAACCCUAUAACCCCAACAGCUAAAAUUAAUUUACCUCCAUUGACAAACAAAAAGCUAUACUCAAAAUAAGCAAAGGAGGCGACCAAAAUCCGGCCACCACUACGGCGGCAGCCUCCAGCUCGCCGGCGUCAGCAGCUCCUGCGGAUUCCACGCUCAGCAGCAAUUUCAUUUUCUGCUCAUAAACAGCUGCUUGCUCCACCAACCGACAGAUCCGGCCAGUUCAGCCGCUGCCGUCGUACCCGGCGACCCAGCACCGCGUCUCCUCCAGCAGCUCACCAUCGCCCAGCUCCUUUUCUCCUCCGCUGGUCACUGGCUGUUUCUCCGUGCCCAGCUGCUUUGUUCCUCCGUGGGUUGCUCCUCAAGUUCGCUCAGCCCCGCGAACGUCGCCUGCAGCUCGCUAACAUCCGGCCAGCAGAUUCUGUCGCUGCUUAUUCAGCCAGUAGAUCCUCCGUCUAGCUCGUCACCAGCGUCUCCCUCAGCAACAGUGCCGUCUGCUUUUACCUCGUCAGCAGCAGCGGCUUUCAGAGACAAUUGCAGCAGCUGGUAUUCUUUUCUCCUCGCCGGCGGUGGCAGCAACAGCUCUUCCCAUCUCUUUAACGGCAGCAACAGCUCCUACCCCUCAGAAACACCACGGCGGCAGCUCCAUAUGUGGAAGCGGCUAGAAAUUUGAAUUCUCAUAAUUUUCAGCAACUACAAGUUCAACGAUGCACUUCCAUGCAUUCAAGACAAUUUCUUCGAACAAAUCGUGUUCUGCAGGAUGAAGUAAAUGGCAUUGUUGACUCUAGAGAUCAUGUCUCUUCAAAUUUCAGCCUUUACAUGUCGCCAUUCGAGAGAAACAUCAGGACAUGAAUUUAUAAGCCGUUUGUUCAGAGUUUGUGAAAGUGAAGUCCGUUUGCCGAUAAUAAUGAGAUAAGCUGAAGUGUAGCAUCUCUUUUCAAAUUUUCCUCCAUCUCACUUGUCGCACACUGCUCAGAACUCCUCCACCAACUUUGAUACUAUUUAGCAGUAUUUGUAUAUCGAACUAGUCAAGUAGUUGAUAGUUGUAAUAAUUUAGUAACUUCAAAAGUUGUUGGAUGAUGUUCCUUCUAUUUAUCUCAGAGGAUAUUUUUCUCA